AUGCAGUAUUUCCAAGAUCCGCCAAGGGCCAGAAGUUACUCUCACAAUGCUUAUUAUUUGGCACGAGGACAGCAUUUGAGAGAUCUGCCGAGGGCUGGAAGUCAUUUCUGUAAUACUUGUAUUCGACACGGGAACGUGGCAUUUCCGAGAUCUGCUGAGGGCCAAAAGUUACUCUUGCAAUGUUUGUGGAGCUGCAUAGUAGCAUGGCAUCACCAUGGAGCUAAGGAACACCGCCUCCAUCUCACGGAGGCACUUCUCCUGAGCAAGGACAUGGCGUACUCCAUCACCAUGGCGUCACAGGGCAGCUUGAUCCCUCCUUCACGGCCUGCGAAACCAAACACCUCUUCGGACAUCCGCGGGAGCUCACUUAAGACCACCGUGCUGAGGUAUGCCAAUGGCAGCACGAACCGUCCCCCGUCAGUGGUGUACAUGACACAGUGGCCCUUUCCUGCCACUGCUGUUGAGCACCCAUCGACUUCUGUUUUUUUUUUUGCGGGUGGCAUCGACUUCUGUUGUUGCCGUCAUGAUGCUUUGUUUGUGGAUGAAGUGAUGCUGUUUUGA
rnacentral:rRNA from 1 species